CGCCUCCCGCCCAAUGAUGGGAGGUCCAGCCUGCCCAAUGAUACAUUGAAUGGCCGCGGUACUCUUACCGUGCGAAGGUAGCAUAAUCACUUGUUCAUUAAAUAUGGACUAGUAUGAACGGCAUCACGAGGGUCAUACUGUCUCCCUACUCCAAUCAAUGAAACUAUUUUUCCCGUGAAGAAACGGGAAUUAAACUAUAAGACGAGAAGACCCCAUGGAGCUUUAAACCCAGAACAUCUACCAACCCCCCCCCCAUUUUUACCUAACUAUAGUAUUCAUGUUUUCUGGUUUUUGGUUGGGGCGACCACGGAGCAAAAAAAAUCCUCCACGAUGAACAAGCUUUACUUUUACCCAUGAAGCACACUUCUAAGGACCCUUAAUAUGACAUUUCUUGACCCAAGCCUACUUGAUCAACGAACCUAGUUACCCUGGGGAUAACAGCGCAAUCCAUUUCAAGAGCCCAUAUCGACAAAUGGGUUUACGACCUCGAUGUUGGAUCAGGGUAUCCCAGUGGUGCACCCGCUACUAAAGGUUUGUUUGUUCAACAAUUAAUAACCCU
rnacentral:rRNA from 1 species